rnacentral:rRNA from 1 species
GAGUUUGAUCCUGGCUCAGGACGAACGCUAGCGGGAGGCCUAACACAUGCAAGCCGAGCGGUAUUGUUUCUUCGGAAAUGAGAGAGCGGCGUACGGGUGCGGAACACGUGUGCAACCUGCCUUUAUCUGGGGAGUAGCCUUUCGAAGGAAGAUUAAUACUCCAUAAUAUAUUGAACGGCAUCGUUUAAUAUUGAAAGCUCCGGCGGAUAGAGAUGGGCACGCGCAAGAUUAGCUAGUUGGUGAGGUAACGGCUCACCAAGGCGAUGAUCUUUAGGGGGCCUGAGAGGGUGAUCCCCACACUGGUACUGAGACACGGACCAGACUCCUACGGGAGGCAGCAGUGAGGAAUAUUGGUCAAUGGGUGCAAGCCUGAACCAGCCAUCCGCGUGAAGGACGACUGCCCUAUGGUUGUAAACUUCUUUGUAUAGGG